UACGUAGGGGGCAAGCGUUGUCCGGAAUCAUUGGGCGUAAAGAGCGCGUAGGCGGCCCAGUAAGUCCGCUCUGAAAGUCAGGGGGCUCAACCCCUGGAUGCGGGUGGAUACUGCUGGGCUAGAGUCCGGAAGAGGUGAGUGGAAUUCCUGGUGUAGCGGUGAAAUGCGCAGAUAUCAGGAGGAACACCGGUGGCGAAGGCGGGUCUCUGGGCCGAUACUGACGCUGAGGAGCGAAAGCAUGGGGGAGCGAACAGG
rnacentral:rRNA from 1 species